UACUGGUAGUAUUCACAUGGACAGCAGCAGCAUAAGAGGAGGGCAUUUGCAUUUUGCACCACAAGUUCUCAAAAAUCUAGAUGCGCAAGACCAUACAAGCAAUCAUGUCACUGACUUUAAUCUUGCACGCAGGACAUGCUUGGGGUAUAGCCAUGGUCCAUGUGCAAUGGAGAAAAGGACUGACCACUUGCCUCUGGUGCAGUAAGUAGAUGCUACUACUGAUCAAAGAUUUGUCUACUUGGGCAUAAAGUUUUGGUAUUUUGAAGACACGUUCUAUUCUGAGGUAGGUAGGUUGCUACCACCAUGGUUGUUCAAUGCAGAUCUCUCACAUGCUGCUUUAGGUGCGAUGUUUAUAUCAUCACAGGUCACCAUUAGGUUGUGUCCAAAGCAUGGAUGUGGAAAGACGUCCAUCAUUUUCAACCUCUGAUGAGCUAGAAGACUGAUAAUAAACACCUUUUUUCUUUCCCAUCUUCGAGACAUGCGAGAUUCCCGAUCCAUUUUUCCUAUUUAUACCUCCUGGAGGGAUGUAUUUGCUGGCCCUGGACUUGGUAUCCAUCUGGGAUAUUAUUUGCCUGGCCUAAAAGGAGUAGUUGAGCUGAAUUUAAACUUGGCCCAUCUGGGCUGUCAUUUCACUUCUUGUUUUAGCUAUAAAACACUUGUAUAUUCUUUGAAUUCAACUCUUGGAUUCCUUAUCUGCAACACUGCAUGGAGGAGUAAAAACCCGAUUCUCAUUAUAGCAUGAACCCCAUCUAUUCAAAGCAUGCAUGUAACUUUCUGUGGUUUAUAUCGAGGUGCGUCCACCCAUCUUGUAUUCCUCCAAGCCCAGUUCCUUUCACCUUCGACAAUGGUCCAGUUUGAACUUUGACGCAUCUUUAAGAACAACAGACUGGGCUGGAUAGUGGAUUCUUUAUCUCAUGCCAAGAAAUCUUGACUCCAUAUGCUGCAACAGAACAGAUUCUUUCGAGUGCAAUCCUCAUCUAAUCAAGAGAAUGGAAUAGAAACAUCUUAAGGGUCAGUACAGUGCCAGCAAAAACCAUGACUACGUAUUUUCAUAUGGCAUCUCUUAAAGUACACGGCCAUCUUACACCAACCCAACCCAAAACUUUUUACCCUUACAAUGGUCCAUCUUGAGGCCUCUAUUCAAAACCAGACUGGCUGCAUUUUCAUCCCUAGCAAACCGUUCUUAGUUCCCUUCCUUGAUUGAGGUAACACAGAAGGUUGUUUCGAAUGAAACCAUAUCAUGAGGGGGUAAGUGGCUAACUAUUAAGCAAGUGAUCAGGAAAGAGUUCAUUCUUCAUAUUGUCUUUUGCAUAUUUACAACUUGCAAGCAGAUAGUAUUUUUUGCAAAAGCAAAAAGUGUAGCCGAAUGUACCAGGUCUCUUCGGGGUCAAGGCCAUGUUCCUUUAGCCUAAGGAAAGUUGAAAGGAGACGAGGUAAAAGUAAAUGAAGUUGAAAUAAGAAACCAAGAACCCUAUAAUGCCAAAUUAACAAUCAGAAGUGCCAAGCUCUAAACUCAAGUGGAAAAAAUUCUUUCUGCACGAACUCAGAUGAAAAGCAGGGAGACAGCAGCCAUAAGCCAAAGGUUUCAAGAAUCUCUCAUUUUAUUGCCCUCCUAGAAUUUGCAUUAGCUAUGAGCCUAUAACUCAGUGUCGCAUAACCGGAUCAUCAAACUAGACACCAUUCUCCGAGCGAAAGGAAUAUAGCUCAGACCGUACCUGAAACAGCUUAAAGAAGACAUAUAAGUGGUGCGAACAAAGCAUUUAAAAUGCCCAAUUGAACUUCUUAUUGUUAAACUAAGAGAAGCUAUUGCAGAGAUGUUGCCUGAUAUAUAAGAUAAAUAGCUGGAAAUCAUGUACUGUAGUCUGAAAAUUCUGAGAAGCAACCAUGUACUGUCUAUGAAAAACAAAUAAGAGCGCUGUAUAAUUUCCAUUUCAAA